rnacentral:rRNA from 2 species
ACGACUCUCGGCAACGGAUAUCUCGGCUCACGCAUCGAUGAAGAACGUAGCAAAAUGCGAUACUUGGUGUGAAUUGCAGAAUCCCGUGAACCAUCGAGUUUUUGAACGCAAGUUGCGCCCGAAGCCAUUUGGCCGAGGGCACGUCUGCCUGGGCGUCACG